UUCAUGACUGGGGUGAAGUCGUAACAAGGUAGCAGUACCGGAAGGUGCGGCUGGAUCACCUCCUUUAAA
rnacentral:rRNA from 1 species